CCUACGGGUGGCAGCAGUGGGGAAUAUUGCACAAUGGGGGAAACCCUGAUGCAGCGACGCCGCGUGAGCGAUGAAGUAUUUCGGUAUGUAAAGCUCUAUCAGCAGGGAAGAAAAUGACGGUACCUGACUCAGAAGCCCCGGCUAACUACGUGCCAGCAGCCGCGGAAAUACGGAGGGGGCACGCGUUAUCCGGAUUUACUGGGGUUAAAGGGAGCGUAGACGGUCCUGCAAGCCAGAUGUGAAAGCCGGGGGCUCAACCCCGGGACUGCAUUUGGAACUGUAAGGCUAGAGUGUAGGAGAGGCAGGCGGAAUGCGUGGUGUAGCGGUGGAAUGCGUAGAUAUUAGGAGGAACACCAGUGGCGAAGGCGGCCUGCUGGACGAUGACUGACGUUGAGGCUCGAAAGCGUGGGGAGCGAACAGGAUUAGAUACCCGAGUAGUC
rnacentral:rRNA from 1 species